CUAUUAUUUAGAAACUAUAAAAGGUAGAUAGAAGUCUAACUUAACAUAGCAUCAUUUAUCAGCAAGACAAGAUAUUAAAAAAAGUAAAAUUUGCUAAAAUUGUUAAUAGACUUUUGAUAGGAGUUUUUGCUCUAAAGCGAGGAUUGUAACCAUUUUUCUGUGCUUUGAACAAAAGCUCAAGAAGAAGAUAACUUGUCAACCGACGAAAAAAAAAAUAAUCAUCAAAACAAAAUUAAUAAUAAAAAAAAAGAUAUUUGUAAUGAAUUCUAUUUUAAUACAUAAUGUUGGAUAUUUCCCUUUGUUACUAAACAAAAACUGGGGCUAGCGACACAACCUCUCAUGUGGUAACAUGCAUUUGACUGGUCCAUCUAUAUGAAGCUGAUGUUAAAAAUUCUGAAGAUAAAUUGAAAAUUAUAUUGAAAAUACAAAAAAUAAUUACAAACUACACAUGAAAGUAAUGAAAUCGACAGAAAGCUGAUAUAAGGGGAAUGUACAAAAUCACUUAAUUGAUGGUCUCCCCAUUGACUUUUAUAGACCUUUCCGGUACGACUUACAAAAACUUUUCUGUAGAUGUCUAUAAUCAUUGCCAUGAGAAGAAAGAAUUGACAAAUUCACCGAAACUGGGUUAACCUUAUUUACAAGAAAAAACGACCCAUUUAAUUAAGAUAAUUAUAGCAUAUUAAAUAAAGGCUGGGUUUUAAAACCCUUCAGCAUUGAGCGCGGGAUCCGUCAAAGUUGUCCCACAAGUUCUAUAAUUAUGGUUAUUGCUGAUAAAAAUUAAAAUUUAAAGAUAGAAAAAGAAAAAUGGUAUCAAUUAAAAAACAUUUUUCAAACAACAUUUACAUUUCCCCCUAAAUAUAGAUUUUAUGAAAAACCAAUAGGAUUUCAAAAUGGGAC
rnacentral:lncRNA from 1 species